CCUACGGGGGGCAGCAGUGGGGAAUAUUGCACAAUGGGGGAAACCCUGAUGCAGCAACGCUGCGUGAGCGAUGAAGGCCUUCGGGUCGUAAAGCUCUGUCCUAAGGGAAGAAUACUGACGGUACCUUAGGAGGAAGCCCCGGCUAACUACGUGCCAGCAGCCGCGGUAAUACGUAGGGGGCUAGCGUUAUCCGGAAUUACUGGGCGGAAAGGGGGCGUAGGCGACCCUUCAAGUCAGAGGUGAAAGGUUACGGCACAAUCGUAGUAAGCCUUUGACAUUGUAGGGCUUGUGUGCAGGUGAGGAGUGUGGAAUUCCUUUUGUAGGGGGGAAUGGCGUAGAUAUUGGGAGGGACUGCAGUUGCUACGGCUGCUCUCUGGACUGUAACUGGCGCUUAGGCACGAAUGCGUGGGGUUCGAACAGGUUUAGAUACCCUUGUGGUC
rnacentral:rRNA from 1 species